GAGAAAACUUUGCUGCUGAAAUCGCUGGAGGCAACUGUGUGAUUUCUCUCACAACUUCACCAAUCUUCUUCCAGCAGCCAUGAUUAUCUCAGAGAAGAACCGUAGAGAGAUCUCCAAAUACCUCUUCCAAGAGGGAGUAUGCUACGCGAAGAAGGAUUACAACUUGGCCAAGCAUCCGUUAAUCGAUGUGCCAAAUCUACAGGUUAUCAAACUGAUGCAGAGCUUCAAAUCUAAGGAGUAUGUUCGCGAGACAUUCGCUUGGAUGCACUACUACUGGUACCUUACAAAUGAUGGCAUUGAGUUCCUCAGGACUUACCUUAACCUUCCAUCUGAAAUUGUCCCGGCUACACUGAAGAAAUCUGCCAAACCCCUUGGUCGUCCCAUGGGUGGCCCUCCAGGCGAUCGUCCACGUGGACCACCAAGGUUUGAGGGUGAUAGGCCAAGGUUUGGUGACAGAGAUGGUUACCGUGCUGGACCUAGAGGUCCACCUGGUGAGUUUGGAGGUGAGAAAGGUGGCGCUCCAGCUGACUACCAGCCUGCUUUCAGGGGUUCUGGUGGAAGACCUGGAUUCGGCCGUGGAUCUGGAGGUUUUGGCGGCGGUGCACCUACUAGUUCAAGCUUCUCUUAGAUUCGUGCCAUCUUAGACUUGGUGGUUGUUUCAAAUUUUGAAAUCAGAUGUUGAAAUCACUUGGACUUUAAUUUUCUAGUUAAAACUUAAUAUUCCGAGCCGGGCAAUUUUAUCUUUGUUUAUCUUUAGAGAACUAUUAAGUUUUGUUCUGUUCCUUGUUCCUUUGUGUCUUUUGAGAUAUACUUUCAAGUUAUUCCGAUGUGACAGUGUCAGGCACUUUAUAUGUUGUUGAUGUUUCUAAUCUCUCUCUCUGUUAAAUUAUUAAUGAUAUGAUGAAAUUGUACCAUUA
rnacentral:misc_RNA from 1 species